GCGCCGAUGGGGUAGUGGUAACCUGGGUCGUUGCCAAAAUCGUAAGAUAAGCGGGUUCGACCCGCCGGGGGUUCGAUUCCCUCUCGGCGCA